AUUGAACGCUGGCGGCAGGCUUAACACAUGCAAGUCGAGCGGGGUGAUGGUGCUUGCACUAUCACUUAGCGGCGGACGGGUGAGUAAUGCUUAGGAAUCUGCCUAUUAGUGGGGGACAACAUCUCGAAAGGGAUGCUAAUACCGCAUACGUCCUACGGGAGAAAGCAGGGGAUCACUUGUGACAUUGCGCUAAUAGAUGAGCCUAAGUCGGAUUAGCUAGUUGGUGGGGUAAAGGCCUACCAAGGCGACGAUCUGUAGCGGGUCUGAGAGGAUGAUCCGCCACACUGGGACUGAGACACGGCCCAGACUCCUACGGGAGGCAGCAGUGGGGAGUAUUGGACAAUGGGGGGAACCCUGAUCCAACCAUGCCGCGUGUGUGAAGAAGGCCUUAUGGUUGUAAAGCACUUUAAGCGAGGAGGAGGCUCUUUUGGUUAAUACCCAAGAUGAGUGGACGUUACUCGCAGAAUAAGCACCGGCUAACUCUGUGCCAGCCGCCGCAGUAA
rnacentral:rRNA from 1 species